GAUGAACGCUGGCGGCGUGCCUAAUACAUGCAAGUCGAGCGAACGGACGAGAAGCUUGCUCCUCUGAUGUUAGCGGCGGACGGGUGAGUAACACGUGGAUAACCUACCUAUAAGACUGGGAUAACUUCGGGAAACCGGAGCUAAUACCGGAUAAUAUUUUGAACCGCAUGGUUCAAAAGUGAAAGACGGUCUUGCUGUCACUUAUAGAUGGAUCCGCGCUGCAUUAGCUAGUUGGUAAGGUAACGGCUUACCAAGGCAACGAUGCAUAGCCGACCUGAGAGGGUGAUCGGCCACCCUGGAACGGAGACACGGUACAGACUCCUACGGGAGGCAGCAGUAGGGAAUCUUCCGCAAUGGGCGAGAGCCUGACGGAGCAACGCCGCGUGAGUGAUGAAGGUCUUCGGAUCGUAAAACUCUGUUAUUAGUGAAGAACAUAUGUGUAAGUAACUGUGCACAUAUUGACGGUACCUAAUCAGAAAGCCACGGCUAACUACGUG
rnacentral:rRNA from 1 species